CCUACGGGAGGCUGCAGUGGGGAAUAUUGCACAAUGGGGGAAACCCUGAUGCAGCGACGCCGCGUGAGUGAAGAAGGAAUUCGUUAUGUAAAGCUCUAUCAGCAGGGAAGAAAAUGACGGUACCUGUGUAAGAAGCCCCGGCUAACUACGUGCCAGCAGCCGCGGUAAUACGUAGGGGGCAAGCGUUAUCCGGAUUUACUGGGUGUAAAGGGAGCGUAGACGGCAGUGCAAGUCUGGAGUGAAAGGCGGGGGCUCAACCCCCGGACUGCUCUGGAAACUGUACGGCUGGAGUGCAGGAGAGGUAAGUGGAAUUCCUAGUGUAGCGGUGAAAUGCGUAGAUAUGAGGAGGAACACCAGUGGCGAAGGCGGCUUACUGGACUGUAAAUGACGCUGAGGCUCGAAAGCGUGGGGAGCAAACAGGAUUAGAUACCCCAGUAGUC
rnacentral:rRNA from 1 species